AUUGAACGCUGGCGGCAUGCCUUACACAUGCCAGUCGAACGGCAGCACGGGUGCUUGCACCUGGUGGCGAGUGGCGAACGGGUGAGUAAUACAUCGGAACAUGUCCUGUAGUGGGGGAUAGCCCGGCGAAAGCCGGAUUAAUACCGCAUACGAUCUACGGAUGAAAGCGGGGGACCUUCGGGCCUCGCGCUAUCGGGUUGGCCGAUGGCUGAUUAGCUAGUUGGUGGGGUAAAGGCCUACCAAGGCGACGAUCAGUAGCUGGUCUGAGAGGACGACCAGCCACACUGGGACUGAGACACGGCCCAGACUCCUACGGGAGGCAGCAGUGGGGAAUUUUGGACAAUGGGCGAAAGCCUGAUCCAGCAAUGCCGCGUGUGUGAAGAAGGCCUUCGGGUUGUAAAGCACUUUUGUCCGGAAAGAAAUCCUUGGCCCUAAUACGGUCGGGGGAUGACGGUACCGGAAGAAUAAGCACCGACUAACUACGU
rnacentral:rRNA from 1 species